CCUACGUGGGGCAGCAGUAGGGAAUCUUCGGCAAUGGACGGAAGUCUGACCGAGCAACGCAGCGUGAGUGAAGAAGGUUUUCGGAUCGUAAAGCUCUGUUGUAAGAGAAGAACGAGUGUGAGAGUGGAAAGUUCACACUGUGACGGUAUCUUACCAGAAAGGGACGGCUAACUACGUGCCAGCAGCCGCGGUAAUACGUCGGUCCCGAGCGUUGUCCGGAUUUAUUGGGCGUAAAGCGAGCGCAGGCGGUUAGAUAAGUCUGAAGUUAAAGGCUGUGGCUUAACCAUAGUACGCUUUGGAAACUGUUUAACUUGAGUGCAGAAGGGGAGAGUGGAAUUCCAUGUGUAGCGGUGAAAUGCGUAGAUAUAUGGAGGAACACCGGUGGCGAAAGCGGCUCUCUGGUCUGUAACUGACGCUGAGGCUCGAAAGCGUGGGGAGCAAACAGGAUUAGAUACCCGAGUAGUC
rnacentral:rRNA from 1 species